AUUGAACGCUGGCGGAAUGCUUUACACAUGCAAGUCGAGCGGCAGCGCGGGGGCAACCCUGGCGGCGAGCGGCGAACGGGUGAGUAACAUAUCGGAACGUACCCCGUCGUGGGGGAUAACACAGCGAAAGCUGUGCUAAUACCGCAUACGACCUGAGGGUGAAAGCGGGGGAUCGCAAGACCUCGCGCGAUGGGAGCGGCCGAUAUCGGAUUAGCUUGUUGGUGAGGUAAAGGCUCACCAAGGCGACGAUCCGUAGCUGGUCUGAGAGGACGACCAGCCACACUGGAACUGAGACACGGUCCAGACUCCUACGGGAGGCAGCAGUGGGGAAUUUUGGACAAUGGGGGCAACCCUGAUCCAGCCAUGCCGCGUGAGUGAAGAAGGCCUCGGUU
rnacentral:rRNA from 1 species